GGGGAUAUAGCUCAGUGGUAGAGCAUUUGUUUAGCCCACAAAUCCUGGGUUCAAUCCCUAGUACUGUUG
rnacentral:tRNA from 1 species